rnacentral:misc_RNA from 1 species
GAUGAAGAACGUAGCGAAAUGCGAUAAGUAAUGUGAAUUGCAGAAUUCAGUGAAUCAUCGAAUCUUUGAACGCAACUUGCACCCUUUGGCAUUCUGAAGGGUAUGCUCGUUUGAGUGUCAUUGUACUCUCACACUCCCGAUCUUUGCAUUGGGAGCAGUGGACUUGGGUUUGCUGCUUCACCGUCGCUUACCUCAAAUAGGUUAGUGCAACUCUUGGUUGGACAUAGUACGGCGUGAUAAGUGUUCUUCGCCGGUGCCUCGCAAAGAGGGUGGCCGAUCGGGAUGUUGUGCUCCAAACCGUCUUCGGACAAUCUCUGACGACUUGACCUCAAAUCGAGUAAGACUACCCGCUGAACUUAAGCAUAUCAAUAAGCGGAGGA